CAACAAUGGCACUUGUAAGCAUUAUGUAAGCAUUAUUAGCAUAUUAUUAUAACUUUUGGAACUUGUACGAGGAGCAGCGAAGAAAGUCUAAAGGUGGCGGAAAAUCUAAUUAGGAGGAAAUUUACGUCAUAGGGUGCGUCGGCGUUUUAAUUUCGAUGCACGGUUCAAAAGUUGACCAUAAAUGUACUUCCGAAUUAGGUCCAAAUUUGACCCGAUGGUGGUGCUACAGCGUUGGCAGCACGUGGCCUAAAUUUGGUCAGAAUGUUCCUUAGACCCUCCCUAAUCGGUGUGCCAAAUUUCACAACCUUUUACCAGACGGCUCUCACGGCAGCGAAGAAGAAGAAGAAGAAGAAGAAGAAGAAAAAGAAAGGGUACCUACACACCUUUAGUGUUUGGCCCUCUAAAUAAUAAUAAUAGUUGUUUCUAUAACAACUUCCGUUUAGAGUCAAAUGCUUUACAUCAAAAAUUAAAAAUGAAACACGUAAAAAUUUUAAGUAUGUAAAAUUAAAGAAAAACAAAGGAAGGUAAAUGUUAAAAAUAGUGUUAACAUUCAUAAUAAAAUCACCAACAAUUAGUAAAAUAAUCUAAUAUUUGAAUAAUUGGGACAUGACUCUGUACCGAGGGGGUACAGGGGAAUUUUUGAAAGGUUAAGGGGUUAAAGAAGAGAAGCUCACCCUACUCUGGCAGCUUUCCAAAUAAAUAAUGAUCAUAAACCAGUAAUUCUGCAUGUGUAUACACCUUACAGAGUACAAAUAGUUCAGCUAAAAGCAGCAGAGCUGGGGUCGAGUCAUGGGAAAAAGUAAAAAACCACCAUCAAGUCCAAGACCAGGACUAGCUGGGAUCGAGUCAAGAUCAAGAUGGAGUCCACGUAAAAGCGAGGCCGGGUCAAGAUCGUGUCCACGUAAAAGCGAGGCCGAGUCAAGACGGAGUCCACGUAAAAGCGAGGCCGGGUCAAGAUCGCGUCCACGUAAAAGCGAGGCCGAGUCAAGAUGGAGUCCACGUAAAAGCGAGGCCGAGUCAAGAUCGCGUCCACAUAAAAGCGAGGCCAUAUUGAUCAAGACCAUGACAAGUCCGACUACAAAUGUCAAUUAAUCUGAGACAAAACCAAAUCGAUACGGAAAACGUCUCAAGCCUGGACUAGUAGCGUAGCCCUGACCGUCACACCCAUAUGUCCUUGUUGAACAUUUAAUUCCAGACUUAGUCCCAGUUUUCCUUUUAUAAUAAGCUCCACUCUUCUGUGAAGGCUUUCCAGUAGAUUCUGGAGCG
ensembl:lncRNA